AUUCUUAGAAGAAAAAAUGCCAAUUGGAUUUCCAAGAGCUCUAAUAUUAGAAAGUAGCCCCAAGUUUGCACUCCAGAUUGGAGGACAACUUUCCGAAGCAGGGCCUCAUUAUACAGCCCACUCCGGAACACAGGAUAUGAUGGCUUCAGCCUCCUGAUUGUUGGGAUUACAGGUAUGAGCCAGCAUGCCCAGGCUGAUGCUCCGACAGAUCCCCCAGAUGGAUGUCAAGAACACACGCCGGGACCGCCAGGCCGCUGCUCCUCCCUCCGCGUGCACCUGUUGUCUCUCCUAACUGGUCCCACAUCUCAGUAACCCUGGGCAGGGGGUCUGCAUAUGAACUGCAGAUAAAGCAAGUAGGAAAUAAAGCAAGUGUACUACCCCUCCUGACCCGGCACACAUGACAGAUGCCGUUAAUAAAUCUCAGUUCUGUUUCUCAUUGGGCCCA